GAUGAACGCUGGCGGCGUGCCUAAUACAUGCAAGUCGAGCGAAUGGAUUAAGAGCUUGCUCUUAUGAAGUUAGCGGCGGACGGGUGAGUAACACGUGGGUAACCUGCCCAUAAGACUGGGAUAACUCCGGGAAACCGGGGCUAAUACCGGAUAAUAUUUUGAACUGCAUGGUUCAAAAUUGAAAGGCGGCUUCGGCUGUCACUUAUGGAUGGACCCGCGUCGCAUUAGCUAGUUGGUGAGGUAACGGCUCACCAAGGCAACGAUGCGUAGCCGACCUGAGAGGGGGACCGGCCACACUGGGACUGAGACACGGCCCAGACUCCUACGUGAGGCAGCAGUAGGGAAUCUUCCGCAAUGGACGAAAGUCUGACGGAGCAACGCCGCGUGAGUGAUGAAGGCAUUCGUGUCGUAAAACUCUGUUGUUAGGGAAGAACAAGUGCUAGUCGAAUAAGCUGGCACCUUGACGGUACCUAACCAGAAAGCCACGGCUAACUACGUGCCAGCCGCCGCGGUAA
rnacentral:rRNA from 1 species